GAUCCUGGCUCAGGAUGAACGCUGGCGGCGUGCCUAACACAUGCAAGUCGAACGAAGCAUACGGACUGGAGAUUCGUCGAAGGACCGUAUGACUUAGUGGCGGACGGGUGAGUAAUGUAUGAGCAACCUGCCUUUCAGAGGGGGACAACAGUUGGAAACGACUGCUAAUACCGCGUAACGUAUCGUGGGGGCAUCCUCGUGAUACCAAAGGAGCAAUCCGCUGAAAGAUGGGCUCAUAUCUGAUUAGCUUGUUGGCGGGGUAACGGCCCACCAAGGCGACGAUCAGUAGCCGGACUGAGAGGUUGAACGGCCACAUUGGGACUGAGAUACGGCCCAGACUCCUACGGGAGGCAGCAGUGGGGAAUAUUGGGCAAUGGGCGAAAGCCCUGACCCAGCAACGCCGCGUGAAGGAAGAAGGUCUUCGGAUUGUAAACUUCUUUAUGAGGGACGAAGGACGUGACGGUACCUCAUGAAUAAGCCACGGCUAACUACGUGCCAGCCGCGGC
rnacentral:rRNA from 1 species